rnacentral:rRNA from 1 species
CGCGGCCUAUCAGCUUGUUGGUGGGGUGAUGGCCUACCAAGGCGACGACGGGUAGCCGGCCUGAGAGGGUGUCCGGCCACACUGGGACUGAGAUACGGCCCAGACUCCUACGGGAGGCAGCAGUGGGGAAUAUUGCACAAUGGGCGCAAGCCUGAUGCAGCGACGCCGCGUGGGGGAUGACGGCCUUCGGGUUGUAAACCUCUUUCAGCAGGGACGAAGGGUGACUGACGGUACCUGUAGAAGAAGCACCGGCCAACUACGUGCCAGCAGCCGCGGUAAUACGUAGGGUGCGAGCGUUGUCCGGAAUUACUGGGCGUAAAGAGCUCCUAGGUGGUUUGUCGCGUUGUUCGUGAAAACUCACAGCUUAACUGUGGGCGUGCGGGCGAUACGGGCAGACUGGAGUACUGCAGGGGAGACUGGAAUUCCUGGUGCAGCGGUGGAAUGCGCAGAUAUCAGGAGGAACACCGGUGGCGAAGGCGGGUCUCUGGGCAGUAACUGACGCUGAGGAGCGAAAGCGUGGGGAGCGAACAGGAUUAGAUACCCUGGUAGUCCACGCCGUAAACGGUGGGUACUAGGUGUGGGUUUCCUUCCUUGGGAUCCGUGCCGUAGCUAACGCAUUAAGUGCCCCGCCUGGGGAGUACGGA